GCCAGUGGAUCUGGCAUAGCAGGAGAGUCGUAUGCUCCCUGAACAAUGCUCUGGUGAACAAUCUGGCUGCCACCUGUUGGACUAUUUGAAGCUUCCAAACAGUCUUCAAAGGUAAUCCCACGUAGAGUAUAUUGCAGUAAUCUAUAUGGGAUGUAACAAGAACAUGGACCACCAUGGCCAAGUCUGACUUUCCAACUGUGCACAAGUUUUAGUCGGGCAAAAGCUCCCUAGCCACUGCCGAGACCUGGGGUUCCAGGCUCAAUGAUGAAUCUAGGAUCACUCUCAUCAAUAUUUCUAAAGAUGCCAGCCACAAAUGCAAGUGAAAUGUCAGGAGAAAAUGCUGCUAGCACAUGGCCAUACAACCCGGAAACCUCACAACACCCCAGUGAUAAUGCAUUUCUUUCUAUCUUUCAAGCGUUUCCUUUUACGCUUCAAAAGCCCUCCUGACCACUGGAUUGGUCUCCGAAGAGAUAAUCCAGAGCAGCCCUAGAGAUGGAUCAAUGGUACCAUUUUCCACAAACGGCUUACAAUUUAUGGUGGAGGAAGAUGUGCAUAUAUGAUAUCUGAUGCUAUCGCCAGCUCUAGUUGCUCGAGAGAAGAACACUGGAUCUGCAGCAAACCAGUUGAGAGCUGGGAUUGUGUCACUGUCUGAAUCCAGCUUUUGUUGGCCCAUGUGUCGAUUCGGCCAUUGAAUGUGCAGGAUCUCUGCCUUGCUCAGAAUGCUAACACUAGAAGCUUUCUUGGAAUUGAGCAAGAUUAUUCACUUAUGCGGGACCAUAUUGGUGUCCCAUACUGCCAGACAGUUCUGGAGACCUUUGGCUUCUCCAAACCAGUUUUACUCAGCAGCUGUUCCAGAGGCCCUGAAGCAUUGCCAGAAAAAUAGACACUUGCCAGUCGUACUCUCACUCCAGGCAUUUCAAAAGGGCUGAGAUGAUGACGAUGAUGAUAAUGAUGAUUACCCUGCUACAAGACACCCCUUAUCCAGAAAUCCAAAGUCAUGGGGUUACAGAAAAAAUAGGUUCUCUAGGUUGGUUCUUAAGUUGAAUUGGUAUGUAAGUCAUGUGUAGGUUGAGUAUAUGUAAAAGUUGAGGUUAUUCAUGAGUAUAAGCAGAUGGCAGGUUUGGAGGUCAAAAUUAUGGAUUUUGAAAUUAUGGAUAUUUAUAUGGAUUUUGAUGCUAUGAAUUUUUAUAUGGAUUUUGAAAUUAUGGUUUUAUAAAUAUGUAUUUUGAAAGUAUGGAUUUUGUUAUUUCUCCCGAUCUAAUACUAUUAGGUAACAAUACUUCAGUACUUAUGAGUGCUGUUGAAGGUUUGCUCUAUGAUUCAUUAAUAAAAUGUUUUCUACUUUUAUAUUCUCAA